CCUUGGGGGAGUAGUCUCCGACGAGCGCCCCGCUCGUCCGGCAUGCGUCAACAUACUUGGUCCGCAGACCAUGGCGCAUGCGACCGGCCAGGGCGUAGCCCUACGCCCGGCCCCGGUU
rnacentral:sRNA from 2 species